GAGGAGAAGGCGGCGGAGCAUGCGCGGAAGAUGGAGGAAUUCAGGCAGAGAAAGGCAGCGCAUCAGGCCGUCAUCGACAGGAUCCGCGAGUACGAUCCCAAGACGGGGGAAGUCUGCUACACCCGAUUCUACAACAGGGACUUCUCCAAAUUUGACAUCGAUGAGGAGUCUCCUCUGGCUCCAAUGCGGAACACUCACAAAACUCCAUCCACAUACGCCAACUCACUCGGAAGACAGGUGUACCAUGUGUAUGACUCUCUAAAUGUCCUCUCAGUGAAGAUAGUCUCUUCGGAUGUGGGAUUCCCGUUGAAGGUGUAUGGUACUGUGAUUGCCAGAGAUCACCUGGAUUUCAAGUGUGUCUAUCUCUACCGUCGCUCUAGAGAGGAGUACCAACUCAUCAACUCAGAGUCGUUGAUUUUGACGGCCCAACUCGUCGGCUCGUGUUACUAGAUGGUAUAUAUAUUGAGGUAGAUCUUAACAUCAUCGACGAGCAACGGAAG